rnacentral:rRNA from 1 species
CGGAGGAAAAGAAACUAACAAGGAUUCCCCUAGUAACUGCGAGUGAAGCGGGAUGAGCUCAAAUUUAAAAUCUGGCGUCUUUGGCGUCCGAGUUGUAACCUAUAGAAGCGUUUUCGGCCGCCGGAUGUGGACAAGUCCCUUGGAACAGGGCGUCAUAGAGGGUGAGAAUCCCGUACUUGCCACAACACCGUGUGUCUAUGUGAUACGCUUUCAAAGAGUCGAGUUGUUUGGGAAUGCAGCUCUAAAUGGGACGUAUGUUCGUUCUAAGGCUAAAUAUUAACGAGAGACCGAUAGCGAACAAGUACCGUGAGGGAAAGAUGAAAAGCACUUUGGAAAGAGAGUUAAACAGUACGUGAAAUUGCUAAAAGGGAAGCGCUUGAAGUCAGUCGCGUCUUUGGGGAUUCAGCCUUGACCGGUGCAUUUCCUCUUCGACGGGCCAACAUCGAUUUCUGCCGCGGGAAAAGGGCGUGAGGAAUGUGGCAGCUCCGGCUGUGUUAUAGCCUCGCGUCGUACGCCGUGGGGGGGAUCGAGGACCGCAGCUUCGGCUUAGGAUGUUGGCGUAAUGGCUUUAAGCGACCCG